AUUGGAGUUGGGGGACGGGACGGGGGCAUCCCUCCAGGACCAGCUCUCCAGGAGGCCCACAUUCUCUCUGCGGGAACCACUCCAAAGGGGCACGCUGUUCCAGGCAGCCCCUCGCGUAGACACUCCGGCUUUGUCUAGGGCAAGACCCAUCCUGUCCCCUGGGCAUUCCCUUCCCACAAUUGGGCUUCACGGCACUCCUGAGCCUUCCCCGGUGCCCUGGCUCCCACUACCACCAGAGCCUCCAGUGCCCCACCUAAGCUGAGCUACCCUGUCAGCCCACGGUCACACGCCUGAAGUCCUGCGACUCAGGAGAGGCGGAGGGAGCCCUUCCGGGCAAGUGGCCACUCAACGCUGACCCUCCUCUCCCAUUUCAGAAGGAGAUGAUUAGGACACAGACGUGCAUAGAGAUGACGCUGUGAGGACACGGGGAGGAGACAGCAUCUUCAGGCCCAGGAGGGAGGCUCAGGAGGAACCAGGCCUGCCCGCACCUUGGCCUCAGCCACCCAGCCUCCAGGACUAGCAGACUGGGAGCUAACAGCCCUUUCCUGUUGGCUGCCUCUUCCCCAAGCCCAGCGCCCCCUGCCCAUGCCUGUCAGAGCUCAUAUCCCGCCCUGCCUGCCAAGCCUACUGGCUCACCUGCAGCAUCUGGAGGGGUCCCUGUGUGCUCCGCUCCUCCAGCUGCAGCAGCAGCAGCUCCAGGGAGUGGCCCUGCCGGUCCAGGCAGGCCACGCUCUCCCGGAGCCUGCUAGCGAUCUCCUCUUCUUCCCUCUCCAGAGCCUGGAGGAGCCUCUGCUCUUCUUCCACCAGAUAGAGGUUCAUCUUCUCAAACUCCAGCACAAUGCGUUCUCUCUGCUCCUUCACCUUGCCCUGCAAGAGUGGAGAAGCCCGGCAUGUCGCCAGCAGGUGGCUCAGCUCCAGGGAUGCUGGCACCUCUCCCCAGGGCCCUGGUGACCCACAGAUCACCAGCAACUGGAGCUUUUGUUGGGGACCAGGAACUGUGACAGAGGCCCCCACCCCUGCUAUCCUGUGAUACACUGAGUGUAACCCUCCGAGCCCCAAACUGCAACUUCUACACAUCCAAACACCCAUGCACCCUUGCUCUGAGGAGGUUCAGAAUGUCCACCCCCAGAUAAGCCUCUUGGGCAUGUUAAACAAAAUUUAUGGGUGGCCAUUGUUUUUUGUUUUGUUUUGUUUUGUUUGAGACAGGGUCUCGCUCAGUUGCCCAGGCAGGAGUGCAGUGGCACUUAUUGCAACCUCCACCUCCUGGGCUCAAGUCAUCUGAGUAGCUGGGACCACAGGCAUGCACCACCGCAUCCAGCUAGUUUUUAAAUUUUGUGUAGGGACAGGGUCUUGCUCUGUUGCCCAGGCUGGAGUGCAAUGGCACAACCACAACUCACUGCAACUUUGACCUCCUGGCCUCAAGUGACCCUCCUACCUCAGCCUUCCAAGUAAGUGGGACUAUAGACAUAUGUCACCACCACCAUGUCCAGCUAAUUUUUAAUUUUUUUGUAGAGACAGGGUCUUGCCAUGUUGCCAAGGCUGGGGUUCAGUGGCAUGAUCAUGGUUCACUGCUGUCUCGGACUCCUGGGCUCAAGUGAUCCUCAGGGGCCACUGUUUUGAACUGGGCUCCUGCACUAGGUCCCAGAAGAGCAGACCCAACCAGAAUGGAGUCACUAGUGCUAAUGAAACCAAGUGGUUCAUUGAUCAGGUCAGCCUGCCCUGAUUGCUUUUUGUUAUUUUGUUUUUCCUUUUUCCAUGAAGCUAAAGGCCGUGCCUCAACGCUGACGCCCAACCUUCACUGGCUGCUUUAUAGAUAAUAUUCACAGGUCACCAUGGGACUGGUUGCUUCAGGAACGUGGGGCAGCUCCUGUCCAGCUGAAACUGGUUGAGACCAUCUGCCCUUCAAGUGCACCUGUCCCAGUGCCCGAGGUGGCCUUUUGGUGUCAGAGGGCCAAAACUUCCAACCUCAGAUCAUGCUAAGGCUGCCGUUUCUGGUACCUGUGUCCUGUGAAAUGCCAUGCACCCCGACAACACCUGCACAGAAUGGGCCUGCUGGACCACCCUGCCUCUGUAGUUCAUAAAGACUCCCAAGCUGUAUCACUUGGGAGGUGGGUUUAAGUGCUGUUCUCCCUCUUCCUCACUCGGCGGCCUUGCAAAUAAAUCUUUUCUCUUAGCUGGAUGCAGUGGCUAACACCUGUAAUCCCAGUGCUUUGGGAGGCUGAGGCGGGAAGAUAGUUUGAGCUCAGGAGUUCAAGGCCAGCCUGGGCAAUAGCAAGACCCUGUCUCUACAGAAAAAAAAAAAAACAAAAAAAAAGCCGGUCUUGGUGGCAAGUGCCUGUAGUCCCAGCUACUCAGGAGGUUGAAGCAGGAGGAUCACUUGAGUCCAGGAAUUUGAGGCUGCAGUGAGCUAUGAUUGCAUCACUGUGCUCCAGCCUGGGCCACAGAGCGACUCUGACUCAAGAAAAAAGCAAAAAAUAACAAUAAAGAUCUCUAAAUCUGUUUUGAUUUUGUGUUUUGACAGGCAUUAGGAUUAGGGUAAACUAAAGGCCAUUGAGAACCCGCAGAAGCAGGAAAACCUGUUUGCCUCACCAAUUAGCUGCCUAAAAAAAUAAAGUGCCUGGCCUGGCGCGAUGGCUCAUGCCUGUAAUUCUAGCACUUUGGGAGGCCGAGGCGGGCAGAUUACCUGAGGUCAGGAGUUCGAUACCAGCCUGACCAACAUGGUGAAACCCCAUCCCUACUAAAAAUACAAAAGUUAGUUGGGCAUGGUGGUGGGCACCUGUAGUCCCAGCUGCUUGGGAGGCUGAGGCAGGAGAAUUGCUUGAACCCGGGAGCCAGAGGUUGCAGUGAGCUGACACCGCACCAUUGGAUUCCAGCCUGGGCAACAAGAGUGAAACUCCGUCUCAAAAAAUAUAUAAAAAUAAAAAUGUGCCCUUUCA